rnacentral:rRNA from 1 species
AUUGAACGCUGGCGGCAGGCCUAACACAUGCAAGUCGAACGCGUGGCGGACGGGUGAGUAAUGUCUGGGAAACUGCCAGAUGGAGGGGGAUAACUACUGGAAACGGUAGCUAAUACCGCAUACCAUCGGAUGUGCCCAGAUGGGAUUAGCUAGUCGGUGGGGUAACGGAGCACCUAGGCGACGAUCCCUAGCUGGUAGGAGAGGAGGACCAGCCACACUGUAACUGAGACACGGUCCAGACUCCUACGGGAGGCAGCAGUGGGGAAUAUUGCACAAUGGGCGCAAGCCUGAUGCAGCCAUGCCGCGUGUAUGAAGAAGGCCUUCGGGUUGUAAAGUACUUUCAGCGAGGAGGCGUUACUCGCAGAAGAAGCACCGGCUAACUCCGUGCCAGCAGCCGCGGUAAUUC